CAAUACUAAGGGGCCUGACCUUGUAAUGGAGACGCAGGAGACGCUCCUGAAGACGUGACGCUACUCUCUGCUUCUACCACCACACCACCUCUGUCUUUUCUGCCCUCUCUCCCAUCUUGCAGGGACCUUGUGACUGCACUGGGCCCACCUGGAUAACCCAGGAUAAUCUUUCCAUCUCAAAGUCCUUAAUGGAAUCACAUUAGCAAAGCUCCUUUGGAAAGAAGGCAUAAACCUUAACACCUCCCCUCUGCCCAACUCUGGUGUGAGACACUUACUAAGAAAACUCAAGAGGCUUUUAACAACAGAAAUCAAAGGCCACAGGUUCCCGAGAGGAUCUGAAGCCUGUAGCUCGCUGUAGAGAUUACUUCCCAGCUCCAAUUGCCUUCAAGGUCGAAAUUAUAAUUCUUUCUGGGAGAGAUUAAUGAAUGACCAACAAUGGGUCUCUGGCGAAUGGACACAACAAGGAUUGUAAAUCUACAAAUGACAAGACUAGUCUUUUGAAUCUCCUUACUACUGGAGAAACAGGGUGGGAAAGCAGGGACCACAAGAGAGGAUCAGCACAAAGAUGCGCAUGGAGGACAGACAUCAAUUCAUCCCACUUCUCAGGGGAAAACUUCAUCCUCAAGACAACCUGGUGUCAGGAGAGAGCUUGACAGGUCCCGGUAGACCAUCCUGAUGGCUGUGUGAGGGCCUCUCUGAGCCUGGCAAAGGGGAGAAGGUAGUACUAUCAACGUGAAAAUACUUAGGUAUCUUAAGGACUGUGGGUAAAAUUGGAACAUUUCCAGAAUAUCUCGCCCGGCUUUGGUGCAGUUGCACAUCCUCAAGGGUGGAGAGAGGUUCAUCUCCAUGUCAAGGGGUAAUUACCUGGGCAACCGAGGGCAUGUCUGAACCUGAGAGGUUAAGGGGAGGGGCUGG